rnacentral:rRNA from 1 species
GUGCAAUGGCAUAAGCCAGCUUGACUGCGAGCGUGACGGCGCGAGCAGGUGCGAAAGCAGGUCAUAGUGAUCCGGUGGUUCUGAAUGGAAGGGCCAUCGCUCAACGGAUAAAAGGUACUCCGGGGAUAACAGGCUGAUACCGCCCAAGAGUUCAUAUCGACGGCGGUGUUUGGCACCUCGAUGUCGGCUCAUCACAUCCUGGGGCUGAAGUAGGUCCCAAGGGUAUGGCUGUUCGCCAUUUAAAGUGGUACGCGAGCUGGGUUUAGAACGUCGUGAGACAGUUCGGUCCCUAUCUGCCGUGGGCGCUGGAGAACUGAGGGGGGCUGCUCCUAGUACGAGAGGACCGGAGUGGACGCAUCACUGGUGUUCGGGUUGUCAUGCCAAUGGCACUGCCCGGUAGCUAAAUGCGGAAGAGAUAAGUGCUGAAAGCAUCUAAGCACGAAACUUGCCCCGAGAUGAGUUCUCCCUGACUCCCUGAGAGUCCUGAAGGAACGUUGAAGACGACGACGUUGAUAGGCCGGGUGUGUAAGCGCAGCGAUGCGUUGAGCUAACCGGUACUAAUGAACCGUGAGG